UGCACGCUGGCGGCGUGCCUAAUACAUGCAAGUCGAGCGACCAGACGAGGAGCUUGCUCCUCUGACGUUAGCGGCGGACGGGUGAGUAACACGUGGAUAACCUACCUAUAAGACCGGGAUAACUUCGGGAAACCGGAGCUAAUACCGGAUAAUAUAUUGAACCGCAUGGUUCAAUAGUGAAAGACGGUUUUGCUGUCACUUAUAGAUGGAUCCGCGCCGCAUUAGCUAGUUGGUAAGGUAACGGCUUACCAAGGCAACGAUGCGUAGCCGACCUGAGAGGGUGAUCGGCCACACUGGAACUGAGACACGGUCCAGACUCCUACGGGAGGCAGCAGUAGGGAAUCUUCCGCAAUGGGCGAAAGCCUGACGGAGCAACGCCGCGUGAGUGAUGAAGGUCUUCGGAUCGUAAAACUCUGUUAUUAGGGAAGAACAAAUGUGUAAGUAACUAUGCACGUCUUGACGGUACCUAAUCAGAAAGCCACGGCUAACUACGUG
rnacentral:rRNA from 1 species